rnacentral:rRNA from 1 species
AGGACGAACGCUGGCGGCGUGCCUAAUGCAUGCAAGUCGCACGCAGGGUGCUUGCACUCUGAGUGGCGCACGGCUGAGAAUCACGUGGGAACAUGCCUCCUUGUGGGGGACAACAGCGCGAAAGCGCUGCUAAUCCCGCAUACGCUCGGCAACGAGGAAAGCGGCAACGCGCAGGGAGAGUGGCCCGCGGCCCAUCAGGUCGUAGGUGGGGUAAUGGCCUACCUAGCCGGUGACGGGUAGCUGGUCUGUGAGGACAGACAGCCAGACUGGGACUGAGACACGGCCCAGACUCCUACGGGAGGCAGCAGCAAGGAAUUUUCGCAAUGGGCGCAAGCCUGAACGAGCAACGCCGCGUGGAGGAUGACGGCCUUCGGGUUGUAAACUCCUUUUUCGGGGACGAUAAUGACGGUACCCCGGGAAUAAGGCUCGGCUAACUCUGUGCCAGCAGCCGC